GACGAACGCUGGCGGCGUGCUUAACACAUGCAAGUCGAGCGGUAAGGCCCUUUCGGGGGUACACGAGCGGCGAACGGGUGAGUAACACGUGGGUGACCUGCCCUCAGCUCUGGGAUAAGCCUGGGAAACCGGGUCUAAUACCGGAUAUGACUCCAUGACGCAUGUUGUGGGGUGGAAAGCCUUGUGCGGCUGAGGAUGGGCCCGCGGCCUAUCAGCUUGUUGGUGGGGUGAUGGCCUACCAAGGCGACGACGGGUAGCUGGUCUGAGAGGAUGACCAGCCACAUUGGGACUGAGACACGGCCCAGACUCCUACGGGAGGCAGCAGUGGGGAAUAUUGCGCAAUGGGCGAAAGCCUGACGCAGCGACGCCGCGUGUGGGAUGACGGUCUUCGGAUUGUAAACCACUGUCGGGAGGGACGAAGUUCUGACGGUACCUCCAAAGGAAGCACCGGCUAACUCUGUGCCAGCAGCCGCCGCCGUAA
rnacentral:rRNA from 1 species